ensembl:lncRNA
AACUACUGUCAGUUCUCAGAAAUUGCCAGUUAUUGGCCAGGAGAAAAGACUCCCAUCAGCCUCCAGCAGUUUUAACGUCCUUUGUUCUCAAGGCCAGUCUUAAAGGUGCAGAACUUAAUAUGUAACAUAAAACAGGCAAUUGGGGAAACCAGUAUCAUAAAGUCACUCCAGGACAAAAUGUAAUGUACAAAAACUACUAUCAACUGCCUCUCUUCCUUAAACAAUCAAGAUUGCUGCAAGCAAAACUGAAAUCUUGCUACUAUGAAACCACUGCAUUGUGAAUAUUUGUCCUUCUGCAGCAUUCUGAAAGGAAAACCAUGUUUAAAUUGUACUGAGACCUCUCUCACAACCUAUGAUAACUCAUUUGAGAAGCAAUGUAUUCAGGAAGGAAGCUACCAGAAAGAGGGGAGCAAAAGCUGUAAUCAUCCUGGAUGAGAAGAUGUGACCUACAACCAGUAACUUUGAAAGCUCACCGAUCACUGGAGUGAUGGAAGGAAUGUUUUAAACUUGGGCAUUUUGAGGCAGGGUUGCCGUGAGCUGUCACCUCCACUGUGGUGAGUGUUUUCUUAACUAAUCCCUGUACUGCCUGAACAUGCUCUUACAAUAUCUCUAAUUAUUCAGAUGUCUUGCUGGGCACUCUGUGUGUCUUCCCACUCUGACUGUCAAUUUAAGUCCUAAUAAGAAAUUACAUUCUUGCCUCAGCAUACCACAGGCUGCACACAGCCAGCACAGAGAUGACAUAGUCCCUAUGUUUCAGCUGAUUUACCCAAUCCCUAGUGAAAUCUGUUGCCCUUUUGAGGUAAAAUGUAUUUCUCUAUUAUGGCACAUGUUCAGUAUAUACAGUUACACUACAACCAAAACAAAGGUGUCCUAAACUAUAGGCUGAAAUGUUUGACUACAACUUAUUCAUAUUAAUCCUUGCUUGGAGUGGGAUGCUGUUGAUCUAUGGAAAGUUUUACUAUAUUAAUAAUGACAGUGUCUCAAUAUACAAUCCAUAAUAUAUCUAAGUACAUUGAAUAGGUAUGAUUUCUUGUAUAAACCUUCAAUGAAAUAUACUUAUCUAACAAUGUCACCUUGUAUGCUUGUCAGAGAUUGGUAAAAAUAUAUAUAUAUGUAUCCAGUCUCCCAGUGCACAGGAUUCAGUGAUUAACCUCUGCUGCCAGGCUUUACUUUCAGAUACUGGUUAUUGGACUGUAUUGAGAGGACUAAUGUCUCAAUCCAAGGGAGAACAGAAUUCUGGAAAAAUUCUUGAUGUGCACCCAAGAUGCAAGAGAAGUAACUCCAAUGUGUCCCACAUUUUAACACCCAGAUUAUGGUACCAAGCCAGUUACUUGUGUAAAUGAAAAGUUAGGGAAGAAACCUCGGAGAUCCAUACAGCUAAACGACAAAGCUAUCCAAGAGUUGGUUCCAGUUCACCUGUGAUCUUUCCUACAAUGCGCAUGGUUUAUGCUAAAUCACAAUCCUAAACCCCAGUGUUAUUUGAGAAACCAGUUCCUACAGUUAGGAAACAUUCCACUGAUUGCAGCAUCUCCCAAGUUCUUAUAUUCCCUCUUUAUAUUAGCACACUGUGUGAGCAUUGCAGAAAAAAUCCAGUACUAAGUGUACUAGUUGGCUUCCCAUGUGAAGGACAUUUAAUUGGCUUUGAUAUUUUUCUUUGUUCAGUAUGUUUGUGUAUGUGUGCAUGUACAUGUGAGAACACACACGUUUUCUUCUCUUUUUUAUAGUGCACUUCACUGACAUAUUUAAUAGUCACUCAUUGCCAUAGCAUUUGUUUACCAUAACUUACAAAGUAAAAUUUGAGGGUUAUAUUGUAUUUACAAACAAGUUGGCACUUACAGAAUAAAUUAUUGAUUCCUUUUCUUUUUUAUUUCA